ensembl:ncRNA Y37F4.10 ncRNA
UGAGCCUAGGCUUAAGCCUAAGCCUAAGCCUAAGCCUAAGCCUGAGCCUAAGCCUAAGCCUAAACCAAAGCCUAAGUCUAA